rnacentral:rRNA from 1 species
UAGGGAAUUUUGCGCAAUGGGGGAAACCCUGACGCAGCAACGCCGCGUGACCGAUGACGCCCUUCGGGGUGUAAAGGUCUGUCAGUAGGGACGAAUUUUGACGGUACCUACAGAGGAAGCACCGGCUAACUCCGUGCCAGCAGCCGCGGUAAUACGGGGGGUGCAAGCGUUGUCCGGAAUCAUUGGGCGUAAAGAGUUCGUAGGCGGCAUGUCAAGUCUGGUGUUAAAUCCUGAGGCUCAACUUCAGUUCAGCACUGGAUACUGGCAAGCUAGAAUGCGGUAGAGGUAAAGGGAAUUCCUGGUGUAGCGGUGAAAUGCGUAGAUAUCAGGAAGAACACCGGUGGCGUAAGCGCUUUACUGGGCCGUUAUUGACGCUGAGGAACGAAAGCCGGGGGAGCGAAUGGG